rnacentral:rRNA from 1 species
AACGAACGCUGGCGGCGUGUUUAAGACAUGCAAGUCGCACGGAGGCAUUUUUGUAGCAAUACACGGAUGUCUGAGUGGCGCACGGGUGAGUAACACGUGAAUGACAUGCCCUUCAGUGGGGGAUAGCCCAGGGAAACUUGGAUUAAUACCCCAUGGUCCUGCAAAGGUAAAGGUGGCGCAAGCUGCCGCUGGAGGAUUGGUUCGCGUUCUAUCAGCUUGUUGGCGGGGUAACGGCCCACCAAGGCUACGACGGAUACCUGGUCUGAGAGGACGAUCAGGCACACUGGAACUGAGACACGGUCCAGACACCUACGGGUGGCAGCAGUCGAGAAUAAUUCACAAUGGGGGCAACCCUGAUGGUGCAACGCCGCGUGGAGGAUGAAGGUCUUCGGAUUGUAAACUCCUGUCAUCCGGGAGCAAGACCUGACGGUUAACAGCCGGCAGGGUUGAUAGUACCGGAAGAGGAAGGGACGGCUAACUUCGUGCCAGCCGCCGCGGUAAUAC